UACAGGAACAAAUUAUACAGAUGAAGCCGGCCAGUUUAAAGCAACAAGUUAUCCAGGGUUAUUUAAUAUAACAUGGAAAUUGUAUGGUAAAGCAACCAUUUAUCUUAUGAAAUACAGCAUACAACCUCAGUAUGGAAUACAAGAUAGGUAUCAAACAUGUCUACAUUUUUCUGGAACAAAAACCUAGCCAAGUCAGGGAUGGUACAAAGUUAUUUUACAGUGCAAUCUACCAGUAUUGUCAGUAAUUCGUGUUACCUUAAAACUGCCAAGUGGUGUUCUAAACUCUACCUCCAAAAUCACAACAUACAAGACAACAAAAAGAACAACAAAGCUUGCAUAUGGUG